rnacentral:rRNA from 1 species
GACGUAGGGUCCAAGCGUUGUCCGGAUUUACUGGGCGUAAAGAGCGCGUAGGCGGUCUGUUAAGUGAGAAGUGAAAUCUCCAGGGCUCAACCCGGAAACUGCUUUUCAUACUGGCAGACUUGAGGAAUGCAGAGGUAUGUGGAAUUCCUGGUGUAGCGGUGAAAUGCAUUGAUAUCAGGAGGAACACCCAUGGCGAAGGCAGCAUACUGGGCAUUAUCUGACGCUGAGGCGCGAAAGCGUGGGUAGCAAACAGG